AUGCAUUUUGUCAACAGAUCAUAUUAUGGGGAGAUCGUCCUCUUAUACACUUCAUUUCAAGCCAUCUUUCCUGGCAUUUCUCAUUAUCAGACUCUAUAACAUCUACAUGCAUCUUACUUCCGCAACAGGCCUUAUUACCUUGGAUUACUACACUAAGGAAAUACUACAAGGCUGACCCCAGCAUAUGGAUGGAUUGAAGAGCAGUGUGAUAUAUAUGAAACAGCUCUGGACCUAAUUCAUAGAGUCC